UGAUGUACUGCAAGCGUAAACUAUUAAACGGAAACGCUUGACGCAGCGUCGUGACGUCACAGCAUCAUGGCGCGUUCUCCGAUGGCGUGCAGACUCAUAACAAACAGGACACAGACGCCGUGCAACACGAGAAUCGCAUACUAGAGGGAAUGGAUUUGAACGAAGGCUCCGCGCUCGGCGUGUUCAGUUGUGAGCUGUGCGAAAUGUCCAGUCCGUACAGCUUCUACGGGCAGAAGCCGCCAAACACGAGAGCGAUAGUGCUCUUGGAGGAAUGUUACGGCAUGAAGGAUCCCUUUAGCCCAGAGAGAGAGAAGUUUCUGGUCUUAGGAUCCAAGUGCUGUCUGUGCAGUAAGACGGUGUGUGUGGGAACGGACUGCAGUCUGUUCUACACCAAGCGCUUUUGUUUGCCCUGUGUGCGGGAUCACCUCCAUCAGUUUCCAGAACAAAUUCAGAAUGAGCUGCUGAGGAAAAAGAGUGUCCAGAAGACGUCUUCUUCAUGAUGCUAGAAUGAUUUAGUCAGGACACUAGGGAGUGUCGAACCGGUUGUUGGAGCACAAACCUGUUGUGAGCAUGAGCAUGCAAACACUACCACCACACCAAACCUUCAGACCUGCCACCUCCUAGAUCCUUCCGGCCUUAAGCUCAGGCCGAGUCUGACUAAACCCGACUUAGUUGCAAAAACCACAGGCAAGUAGUGAAGUAUAGGUUCCAGCACAUGCAUAGUUGGAGAUCUGUGGCUCAGUGGUCUGAGCACUGGCAGACAGUGCCAGGGAUCCCUGGUUCAAAUCCAGCCAGAUCUCCACAAUGAAUCAAUUGCAGUGGGCAGAGAAGGAGGACUGGAGUGACUGACAGGACCAGACUGAGGAGGAACAGAAUAGAGAGGCGGUUAAAACAAAUUGGACUGGCUGCCCUGACCCAGGAUGGAGCAUUGGCAUUGCUGAGGAGAUGGAGACUGGGACAGCUGCCUGGAUGGAGCACACAGUGGUGAGACAACAGUGAAGAGGAGAGUGAUGACAGCACCUGAAGAAGGGGGGACCAUGACUGGGGUCCCCCCCCCCGGCCUCCAAGACAACGACCAGCCAGGGUUAUGGACCUCUCUCUUGAGACCAUGAGUAGAACCCUAAAUUACUUAACUCUGGCAGCUGAAUUGAUUCAUCCACUAGAUGGCAGCAAAACCAUUAGGACUGUAACAACUUUUUUUUUUCCCUCAGUAGACAAACAUUCCACAGCAAGGAAAAAAAAUGACAUGCCAAGGGUUUAUUUCAAUAAACAGAUUAUAACUUUUAACAAAA